AUGCACACACCACACAUACACACAUACCACACACAUGAACACACCACACACAUGCACACACCACACACAUGCAUGCUUAUCCUGCUUUUGCUGAGCCCUUUGGAUGUCGGCUGCAGAAUGCUGACCCUAGGCCUGAACAUUACAGCCGCAGCUCCUCAGAGCACACGUCCUCACACUGUCCUCGUAGCCACAUGCCAUUACUAACUUAGUAGCAUAAAAACAACUUUCCUUGAUUGACAAAAGGGCAGAAAGUAGAGUCUACCCUGGGCCAGAUUCUAGAGGGAAAAGUCCCACCCCACCCACACUUUCUCUCUUCCUUCCCUUGCGCCCAUCCCCCAGGUGCUGGCCCAGAGUGGCCUCUGGGACUCAGUAUCCAGAAGACAAAUGUCCUUGUCGUAUGAUGACACCUCUCCAUUGGCAGAGACGUUAAGGGCCCUGGCUUGGGAAUAAGACAAAGCAAGGCUCAGGUCCCUGCUCUGCACCACCCAGGCUGCACCCAAGUCUCUGCGUCUCGGCUUCCACUUCUGUAAGAGGCAGACAACUGGAGGCUGAACAAUGGCAAGGAGGUGGGUGGCGACGUGCGGCUGGCAGGUCUGUGGCUGCUUCUUUCACUCCACCAGAGCCAGCAGGUGGAGUAAGUGAUGCCAGCUUUUGGGGUAAACAGGUGGCCAUUGGUUUCUCUGCCCAAAUGUGACCGUACAGGGCUAGAUCCCAGCAACACGCUGGGACCCCUGAACAAUGUGGCCAGGCCUGUGGCCAUCUCUGCUCCCUGGACUCCUGUGUCCUGUUGUCAAGCACAGGGAAAAGUCUUGAGGCAGGGCCCCCACCGCAGCCUCUUCUGGGCUCCAAGAAGCAGAGUUUGUGUCCACCCCAAAGCCAGGACCCAGCUCUACCCUGCUCAGCUAGGACAAGUGCAGGGGACCUUCAGGAGGAACCAAGAGCCACCAAGGCAAGACAGUGUGCCAGGGAGAGCUUGGCUCCACAGCCAAGAGUCCCCAAGGCCCAGGAUCCCACAGCGUCAGUUCACAUGCCCGUGACGGUGUAACUGCCACCCGUAGCCACGCCACGAAUAGGCGAUCGUUUCUCUCCUUCUCCGGAAUGACUUUUAAAGAUUAGCAUGCAAUAAAAUAUACUAAGUUUAA